UUUCCCCAUUGCAUUUUACAGAUAGAGACUCACCGAUCAAUGCUACCAGUGCCAGUGGCUUCCAACGUUUCUUUUAAUUGUCCUGCAAUAGACAACAGUUUUGUGGUGCCAAGCUCUAACACAACCCAAGAGUGACUCCUCAAGAAGUGGCAAAAUCUCCUUGGUGAGUUUGUGGACGGACUCUUAAAACUUCUUAAUAGCCUUCAGGGAGGUUACAAUAAUUGAGGUGAGUUUGGUUAUGAUAUUCCUAACUGUGUUCAUUCUAAGGCAGACUCAGGCUUCAUGUAGGUUUUGAAGUACAGCUGGGAUUUUAACAUAUACCAGAUGCAAAACAAUGGGGAGGAAGGGUUUUGACUUGUUAGUGUAGUAUGUGGUUGUCUGUCAGUACGGAAACAUCCAUACAAUCUUUUAAUAAAUAACAGCUUGUUUACGAUUAACUACCAAGACAGCAGCGGUGAGCCUUUUCUACUUGUAACAUCAGCACUUCCCUGAUGCUUAACUUUCCUGUAGUAAUACAGCUACUCUUGGUAUUAAUAAUAAAAUGGCUUCACUAAGUCACUUUGGGUUUUUUUGAACCUUGCCUUCAAUUAACUCUCAUUCAAACAGUCAAAUUUAAUUCAUUUUGAGCAAAUCAGAGUAAUCUGACAAACUAGUGGUCUCAAAUUGUUCCUGAAACAGCCAUUGGCUUUGGGUGCCCUACAUAUGAAGCUAAAUUGGAAGCACUCAGAGUCUCCUUAAUGGACAUCAUUUUUCAUGACAAAGCCUCUUCUGGAAUGAAGUACUUGAAAGAAAACUUGGUAUCAACACCAGCAAUUCAGAUCUAUGGUAUACACUGUUGUUUAAGGUAGUAACCCCUAAUCCUGUGAAUCAGAGUCCUCUGCUUUAAAAGUUUCCUAUGCAGUGACAGCUCAAUUGAAUGACUUUUUCCCUCUAAUCUUGCCUUUUUUUCCACCACUGUUAGCCCCAUAAUAGCCAUAUAAAUGUUUAUGACAGUCUAGUUUUUACCUUCAUUUCAAUGGAAACGCACAAGUGUAAAGCUCAAAGAUUUCAUGAACAUUUAUAAUGGCUAUGCCACAAACCAAUGAAAUCUAGUAAGUAAACCAAAAUCUAACAGGGUAUUUUAUAAUGUACUUUGGGCCUUAUCAGCAAAAAGCAGGAUUAGUCUCUCUUCUAGCUGUAGCUGAUAGACAAAACUGCUUUUUAUCUAACCCAAGAACAGGAACAACUUCCAAGAAGUAAAGCAAAUAAUAGCUGGCUUUAAAUACAUGUAACUGUCUUAGCAAAGUCCCAAGGAAAUCAAUUUUACUGUUAAUCUGGACUAAUUCAUCCAACUCUCACUGCCAUUAGCAAGUCACUGUGUACAGCUUUUGCUUACAGAAAAAUGUUUCUUUCGGCUAUGAAUAAGAAUCACCACUGUAAGGGACUUCAUGCUUAAUAAAACCUACUCUUUUAAAUGAUAGCAUAAAAAUGUGCUUGCUGCAAUGUGUGUUUCUCCUCCCAAGAGAAGUAUUUUUCACAUUGCAGAGCCUCUUUGUGAACCGACUGGUAGUUAAACUGAUUCAUUUUGUCCUAUUUUGGGCUUCGUAUCUGUUUUCAUCCUUAUGCUCCAGUAUUGCUGGAAUGAGAACAGCUGUGAUUGGGCAUGUCACUAUCAGCACGUUCUCUGGAGGGUCUGUGCUUGGGGUCUUAUAAUAACCUAAGCAAGUCUGCUCCUGUUCUGAAGGAAAACUAUAAAUCCAGAAGUUUUCUGCCAGUAUUUAAUAUUUUCAGCAACGCUUCCUGUCUUCUACCUCUGAAUUCCAUCUUAUCCUUUUCACAUAAGUGUUUUUAGUGGAAAAGCAAACUGUCCAUUAACUCCCAUUAGGUAAUUGCAUUUUGUUGGGGUAUUUUUUAGAUAGUAUGCAAGGGUUGAACUGUCACAUAACCUGUAAUAAAGAUGAAAUAGUGCCUUCUCCAUUGUUCUGAACCUGUCCAAUGAUAGAGAUCAGCAGGAGAAGGUAACAGCUUUAAGCUGUCUUCAUUUACUUCCAGACUCAGAUGCCAAAUUAUCUUAGUUGUGAACAACAGUGAUGUUUCCAUUACCUACAGCUGUUUUGCACCUACAGCUCUGACACAAACUGCUCCUAUAUCUAAGAGAAGAGUUCUUGUAAAGCUACGAGAGGCAAACUGAGCACUACAACUGUGCGUGUCAAAUUAGGGAGGACUGGAAUUCCUUCAAAUGAUAUCUGGAUACUUUAUGUCUUUAUAUACCGUCAGAUGAAUACUACAGCAAAAGAAUGGGUAAGCUAGAAUCUGCCACUGAGUUUUGAUAGUCAUUAAAGGAAUUUUCUGGUAAAACCUUCUGUUGGGAAACUCAAGUUUGUAUCUAGGAAGAGAACGAGAAAAAGCAACUCAAAGUCGACAAGAAAAGGCAGCUAAAAAGAGCUGAAACAAAAUGAGGAAGGGUUUGUAUCUGAUGCAACCACUGUUACUUUUUUUUAGGAUGCACUCUAGUGGACACUUAGCAAAAUGGAAUGAGGAUGCAAACCUUAUGGAAAUAUAGGUCAGCCAUGCCAGCUACUGUGGUUAAAGAACAGAAAGGAAGCACAGCAUGCCAAAAUUAACAGGCUUUAUAGGAACACCCAGAAAGCA